CAUCCUCAUAAAUAGUGUUAAGAAGGAAAAUCAGAAUGUUUCGCCUCGUUCUUAUGUGCUGGGAGAGGAAGUUCUUCAAGAAAGUGCUGUCAAAAUUCAUCCAUAUCUUCC